GCCCCAGUAGCUCAGCGGACAGAGCGGCUGCCUUCUAAGCAGCGGGUCGGGAGUUCGAAUCUCUCCUGGGGCGCCA
rnacentral:tRNA from 1 species